rnacentral:rRNA from 1 species
GACGAACGCUGGCGGCGUGCUUAACACAUGCAAGUCGAACGGAAAGGCCCUGCUUUUGUGGGGUGCUCGAGUGGCGAACGGGUGAGUAACACGUGAGUAACCUGCCCUUGACUUUGGGAUAACUUCAGGAAACUGGGGCUAAUACCGGAUAGGAGCUCCUGCUGCAUGGUGGGGGUUGGAAAGUUUCGGCGGUUGGGGAUGGACUCGCGGCUUAUCAGCUUGUUGGUGGGGUAGUGGCUUACCAAGGCUUUGACGGGUAGCCGGCCUGAGAGGGCGACCGGCCACAUUGGGACUGAGAUACGGCCCAGACCCCUACGGGAGGCAGCAGUGGGGAAUAUUGCACAAUGGGCGGAAGCCUGAUGCAGCAACGCCGCGUGCGGGAUGACGGCCUUCGGGUUGUAAACCGCUUUCGCCUGUGACGAGGCGUGAGUGACGGUAAUGGGUAAAGAAGCACCGGCUAACUACGUG